rnacentral:rRNA from 1 species
GACGAACGCUGGCGACGUGCUUAACACAUGCAAGUCGAACGGGCCCGCUCUCUUUUUUGGGGGUGGGUUGAGUGGCGAACGGGUGAGUAUCACGUGAGUAACCUGCCCCCUGCUCCUGGAUAACUGCUUGAAAGGGCGGCUAAUACGGGGUGUGCCGGCUGGUCCGCAUGGGCCUGGUCGGGAUAGUUUCAUCUUCGGGUGUUUCGGUGGGGGAUGGGCUCGCGGCCUAUCAGCUUGUUGGUGGGGUGAUGGCCCACCAAGGCGGUGACGGGUAGCCGGCCUGAGAGGGUGGGCGGCCACACUGGGACUGAGACACGGCCCAGACUCCUGCGGGAGGCAGCAGUGGGGGGUAUUGCACAAUGGGCGGAAGCCUGAUGCAGCGACGUCGCGUGAGGGAUGGAGGCCUUCGGGUUGUGAACCUCUUUCUCCGGUGGUGAAGGCCCUGUCCGUUGCGGCGGGGUUGACGGUAGCCGGGUAUGAAGCGCCGGCUAACUACGUG